AGAACGAACGCUGGCGGCAGGCUUAACACAUGCAAGUCGAACGCUCGUAGCAAUACGGGAGUGGCAGACGGGUGAGUAGCGCGUGGGAACAUACCCUCCGGUUCGGAAUAGCUCAGGGAAACUUGGAUUAAUACCGGAUACGGCUGAGAGGCGAAAGAUUUAUCGCCGGAGGAUUGGCCCGCGUUCGAUUAGCUUGUUGGUGAGGUAACGGCUCACCAAGGCGAUGAUCGAUAGCUGGUCUGAGAGGAUGAUCAGCCACAUUGGGACUGAGACACGGCCCAAACUCCUACGGGAGGCAGCAGUGGGGAAUAUUGGACAAUGGGCGCAAGCCUGAUCCAGCCAUGCCGCGUGAGUGAUGACGGCCUUAGGGUUGUAAAGCUCUUUCGCUCGGGACGAUAAUGACGGUACCGAGAUAAGAAGCCCCGGCUAACUUCGUGCCAGCAGCCGC
rnacentral:rRNA from 1 species